rnacentral:tRNA from 1 species
UCCUCGUUAGUAUAGUGGUCAGUAUCCCCGCCCUUCACGCUGGAGUCUGGGUUCAAUUCCCGGACGGGAGG